AAGUCGUAACAAGGUAACCGUAGGUGAACCUGCGGUUGGAUCAUUACAAAUGAUACCUAGGGUAGUUUGAGUCUUUGUUCAACCACUCUGCUGUUUAAUAGACGGCAGGAUGGCGGUUCAAUAGAUUCGCUAUUCUAGUAUACACCUUUGUGCACUGUAAUUGUAUUUGGGUUGUUUUUUACUAGGAGUUUUACAACUCCCGGUAUAAGAUGGCCCGCACUAACUAUUUUUUGACUGACUUUUGUUUCUUAUGAAUCAAAAACAA
rnacentral:misc_RNA from 1 species